rnacentral:rRNA from 1 species
GACGAACGCUGGCGGCGUGCUUGACACAUGCAAGUCGAACGGAAAGGCCUGCUUUCCCUUGUGGAUUGCGGGUACUCGAGUGGCGAACGGGUGAGUAACACGUGAGUGAUCUGCCCCCAACUUGGGUAUAAGCCUGGGAAACUGGGUCUAAUUCCCGAUAGGACUGCAGGGUGGUGCCUGUGGUGGAAAACGAUUUUCUAGUGGUUGGGGAUGAGCUCGCGGCCCAUCAGCUUGUUGGUGGGGUAAUGGCCUACCAAGGCGGCGACGGGUAGCCGGCCUGGGAGGGUGGACGGCCACAUUGGGACUGAGAUACGGCCCAGACUCCUACGGGAGGCAGCAGUGGGGAAUAUUGCACAAUGGGCGGAAGCCUGAUGCAGCGACGCCGCGUGGGGGAUGACGGCCUUCGGGUUGUAAACUCCUUUCGACCGCGAGGAAGCCACCUGGUUGGAAGGGUGGUGACGGUAGUGGUAGAAGAAGCACCGGCUAACUACGUG